UAAACAACAAUGCGGCCUUUUGUAUAAAUGUGAAAUGAAAAAUGAAAAUAUAGCUGGUUCAGAACAGAUGCUCCUUACUUACCCUGGCCUAUUUCCAUGAGAUAUUUGCUUGAGUCUACAGUAUCAGUUGAGGAGGAAAGGGUGUGGUGGGUGGGGCCAUCCUUGGUAAGGAGCAUAAGAUCAAAGGGCAAGAACCAGGGAAAACAGAUCCGCCUGCUCGGUAUAGAGGGAUCCCUCUGCUGAAGAACUCUCUGCCCCUGCCCUGCAUCCACCCAGACUACAGAAAUGCACACACACUAGCGCAGAACAACUGCUUUGUCUCAGUCCACACCCAGCCCUGAAUCAAAAGGAACUUAAAAGAUUUAUCACAAGAUUCCAGUCUCGUUGUGCUUCUGAAAGCUUCCUUUCACCUAACUUUCCUGGCCCCUUUGCACCAUGAGACACACAUCCAAUGGGCCCUCGGUGGAAGAGGCAGCUGGUUGGUUUGGUUCUUUUUCCUUCAGAACUUCUUGUGAUGUGGAAGAAUGAGAAUGAUCCACGGAGGUGGCUGCACAUUCAGAUUCUGUGGUUCUUUGAGGAGCUGACUGGGCAGAGUUUACCAGGGCCUUGCAUUUUCUGAAACAGUAAAGUGGUGGCACACGAGAAGAGCUUACAGGACACGGAAGCAUCCUUUGGUUAAGCUGGAAAGGGACAGAGAGAUACCACAUCUGCUUUUCCGUGGAAGAGGGCUCGUGAACUUGCAUGAACUCCUUUUCAAUGUUCAAAGAAAAAGGAAGACAAAAGACAUUUCAUAUGGCCCUUCUCUAUACUUGGAACUUUCUCUCUUAUUGGAAAGAAGAAAUUAGGAAUUAGAAGAAAAGGAAUGGGGGAAAGGAACUAUCUCCCUUUGGUUCAUGACUACCAUCUACAUUAUCAUCCUUCACAAGCAUGCUCUCCACUCUGUCGUGCUUAAAUCCCAUAUUUUGGUGGUGUCCACCACAUUCUUAGCACCCUACACAACACUUGGCACAUCAAUAACUGUCUUCCUCAACAUUUCAUAGUGAAAAAUUUCAAAUGUAGAGAAAUUUGAAAGAACUUUCUGAGAAUACCAGUAUGCCCACCACCUAGACUCUAUCAUUAACACCUCACUAUGCUGCUUCAGCAUAUAUCCAUGCAGCCAUCCAUCAACCUCUCUUUUUAUGCAUUUCCAAGUUGCAAAUAUCAUUUCACUUCCUUCUAAAUACUUCACUCAUAUAAUUAACUCAAGUUGAGUAUUACAAUUUUUUUCUCUUUUGAACGUAUAAUGAAAUGCACCAACAGUAAGUGUACUAGUUAAUGAAUUUUGACAAAUGCAUACACUUGUGUAACCCAAACCCAUCUCAAGAUACAGAACGUUACCCUUCCCCCAGAAGAGGCGUCAAGCCCAUCCCAGUUCCCCAAGACACAUCACCCUUUUGAUAUUUUUUGACCAUAGAUUAGUUUUGCCUAUUCUAGAACUUCACAUAAGUGGAUUCAUACAGGAUGUAGACUUUUGUGUCUGGCUUCUGUCACUUAGCAUAUUUUUGAGAUAAUCCAUGUUGCUGUACGAAACAUAGUUCUCAACAAAUAUUGAUUUACUGAUUUUUAUCAGUGUUGAUUAA
rnacentral:lncRNA from 1 species